UUACGACCACAUCACGUUGAAACACCGGUUCCAGUACGAUCACCGAAGUUAAGCAACGUCAAGUCUGGUCAGUACCUAAAUUGACGACCGCUUCGGAAUAUCAGGUACUGUAA